rnacentral:rRNA from 1 species
GUGGGGAAUCUUAGACAAUGGGCGCAAGCCUGAUCUAGCCAUGCCGCGUGAGUGAUGAAGGCCCUAGGGUUGUAAAGCUCUUUCAGCUGGGAAGAUAAUGACGGUACCAGCAGAAGAAGCCCCGGCUAACUCCGUGCCAGCAGCCGCGGUAAUACGGAGGGGGCUAGCGUUGUUCGGAAUUACUGGGCGUAAAGCGCGCGUAGGCGGACUGAAAAGUUGGGGGUGAAAUCCCGGGGCUCAACCUCGGAACUGCCUUCAAAACUAUCAGUCUGGAGUUCGAGAGAGGUGAGGGGAAUUCCGAGUGUAGAGGUGAAAUUCGUAGAUAUUCGGAGGAACACCAGUGGCGAAGGCGGCUCACUGGCUCGAUACUGACGCUGAGGUGCGAAAGCGUGGGGAGCAAACAGGAUUAGAAACCCCAGUAGUCC